GGGCCUGUAGCCUAGUCUGGAUAGGGCGUCAAGAGAUUGUCACAAUACAAAUAAAAAAUUGUGUCAAACUUUGCGUAAGCCUUCUAAGCUGAAUAUCGUGGGUUCGAAUCCCAUCAGGCCCG
rnacentral:tRNA from 1 species